rnacentral:tRNA from 1 species
CGGGGUGUAGCUCAGUCUGGUAGAGCACUGCCUUCGGGAGGCAGGGGUCGUAGGUUCGAAUCCUGUCACCCCGA